UGAUGCAGCCAUGCCGCGUGUGUGAAGAAGGUCCGUUCGGGUUAGUAAAGCUCUGUUGUUAAAGAAGAACACGUAUGAGAGUAACUGUUCAUACGUUGGCGGUAUUUAACCAGAAAGUCACGGCUAACUACGUGCCAGCAGCCGCGGUAAUACGUAGGUGGCAAGCGUUAUCCGGAUUUAUUGGGCGUAAAGAGAGUGCAGGCGGUUUUCUAAGUCUGAUGUGAAAGCCUUCGGCUUAACCGGAGAAGUGCAUCGGAAACUGGAUAACUUGAGUGCAGAAGAGGGUAGUGGAACUCCAUGUGUAGCGGUGGAAUGCGUAGAUAUAUGGAAGAACACCAGUGGCGAAGGCGGCUACCUGGUCUGCAACUGACGCUGAGACUCGAAAGCAUGGGUAGCGAACAGGAUUAGAUACCCUGGUAG
rnacentral:rRNA from 1 species